rnacentral:rRNA from 1 species
UGGGGAAUUUUGGACAAUGGGGGAAACCCUGAUCCAGCCAUCCCGCGUGUGCGAUGAAGGCCUUCGGGUUGUAAAGCACUUUUGGCAGGAAAGAAACGUCAUGGGUUAAUACCCCGUGAAACUGACGGUACCUGCAGAAUAAGCACCGGCUAACUACGUGCCAGCAGCCGCGGUAAUACGUAGGGUGCAAGCGUAAAUCGGAAUUACUGGGCGUAAAGCGUGCGCAGGCGGUUCGGAAAGAAAGAUGUGAAAUCCCAGAGCUCAACUUUGGAACUGCAUUUUUAACUACCGGGCUAGAGUGUGUCAGAGGGAGGUGGAAUUCCGCGUGUAGCAGUGAAAUGCGUAGAUAUGCGGAGGAACACCGAUGGCGAAGGCAGCCUCCUGGGAUAACACUGACGCUCAUGCACGAAAGCGUGGGGAGCAAACAGG